ensembl:lncRNA
AAGACGUCCACUCGGCCGUCAGACUGAGACAUAAACUCAUGUUUACAUGUUUACUGAGGGAAUAAAUCAAGAGAGAGUCAUUUUCUCAUAGAUCAGGGGUCUUUAACGUUUUUCAGGCCGAGGUCGAGAUGGAGCAGGGACCCUCUAUUCUACGCAGUUUGGUUGGUUUGGCAAGUCGGAUUCUGAAAAAAAAAAAAGCUGGUUGAAUUUAAAAAAAAAAGAAAAACCCAAAACCUUGCGACCCUCUUGCAGUACCUCCUAUUGAAGACCUCCGUCAUAGACGUCUAUGGGAGCAGAGGAUCGCCCCCUUGCUGGUCACUACAUCCACUACAGAGGAGGCUUUGACUUCUCUUGAAGAACAUGAGGUCCUCACACAGCUGUGAGGAAAGACCACAAUGAAGCAGCAGGUGAUACAACUCGCUGCUUUCAAAUAAAAAGGUGGAGGCAGUUUGGUCACAGGAUGGAGGGAGAAAGGUGGAGGAAGGUGGAGCAGGCCUGGACAAGCGCGGGCCAAGGUCAACCUGUGGCCACAGAACGCAUGCAGGACCCCCCAGGGGUCUGUAAGGAGGGCUGAUGCCUCUCUGGCAUCAGGUGACCCCCCCACCCCACCCGAUACACCCCGUCACUACGUGUAACAAGGAAACACACGUCUUUCUGAAGGGACAUUUUCUGCCCCGUCAUUGUGUGGGGGGGCAGCGACAGGCGCAUUCAGACGGGACGACGCGCGCAGCCAGCGUGUAAGAUGAGAGUCUGUUUGGUAACUGACGCUGGUGUUUAGAGACCAUUGUUCUGUGAGUCACUCACCUGUAUGUUACC